UACGGGGGGGGCAAGCGUUGUUCGGAAUUACUGGGCGUAAAGGGCUCGUAGGCGGCCAACUAAGUCGGACGUGAAAUCCCCAGGCUCAACCUGGGAACUGCGUCCGAUACUGGAUGGCUUGAAUCCGGGAGAGGGAUGCAGAAUUCCAGGUGUAGCGGUGAAAUGCGUAGAUAUCUGGGAGGAACACCUGUGGCGAAAGCGGCUCACUGGACCACAACUGACGCUGAUGCGCGAAAGCUAGGGGAGCAAACAGG
rnacentral:rRNA from 1 species